rnacentral:rRNA from 1 species
UACGGGAGGCAGCAGUGGGGAAUAUUGCACAAUGGGCGAAAGCCUGAUGCAGCUAUGCCGCGUGUAUGAAGAAGGCCUUAGGGUUGUAAAGUACUUUCAUCGGGGAGGAAAAACAAAACUAAUAAUUUUAUUUCUUGACGUUACCCGAAAAAGAAGCACCGGCUAACUCCGUGCCAGUAGCCGCGGUAAUACGGAGGGUGCUAGCGUUAAUCAGAAUUACUGGGCGUAAAGAGCACGUAGGCGGUUUUUUUAAGUCAGAUGUGAAAUCCCUGGGCUUAACCUAGGAACUGCAUUUUGAAACUGAAAUACUAGAGUAUCGUAGAGGGAGGUAGAAUUCUAGGUGUAGCGGUGAAAUGCGUAGAUAUCUGGAGGAAUACCUGUGGCGAAAGCGGCCUCCUAAACGAAUACUGACACUGAGGUGCGAAAGCGUGGGGAGCAAACAGGGAUUAGAUACC